GUUCAGCACUAAGUCACUUUGUCUUUAUGGCAAAUGUGAGAUGCAGUGUAUGGAAUGUCAAAUUUCUAGUAUGAGAAAUUAACGAUUUUAAAGUCCUUCUUAAAUGAGGCCAUUUACCCAUAGAGGGUGCCAGGCCCGUAUAACGUUAAUGAUUACUAGAUGGCAUUUCCAAAGAGUCGUGUUGCUUGAUAGUGCAGCACUAAGUGGGUGGUAAACUCCAUCUAAAACUAAAUAUAACCAUGAGACCGAUAGUAAACAAGUACCGUGAGGGAAAGUUGAAAAGAACUCUGAAUAGAGAGUUAAAUAGUACGUGAAACUGCUUAGAGGUUAAGCCCGAUGAACCUGAAUAUCCAUUAUGGAAAAUUCAUCAUCAUGAUUUUAAUAUUUAUAAUAUUAUAAUAAUGGUGUGCAUUUUUUCUAUAACGGACAUUGUAAUCUAUUAACAUAACUAUAUUUAUCAUAAGAUCAAUGAUGCGUAAGUUUAUUCAAAUUAUUUUGCUUGCAAUUUAACAUAGAAUAAAUGCUCUUGAUUUGAUAAAGUGUUGAUAGAUUUAUUGUAUAUAGUGCUUAAAUAUUUAUAUUUUAUAAUAGCAUAUCAAUCAUUGAUUUUUAUGUUUAUUAUAUGCACUUAUAUGAUAACAAUGCGAAAGAUUCAGGAUACCUUCCGGGACCCGUCUUGAAACCCGGACCAAGGAGUCUAACAUAUUUGCAAGUUAUUGGGCGUCAAAACCUAAUAGCGAAAUUAACAUAACUUUUUUAUGGGAUUAGUUUUUGGAUUAUUUAUAGUCUAUUAAUUCAAUCCCGGGGCGUUCUAUAUAGUUAUGUAUAAUAGUAUUUAUAUUAUUUAUACCUCUAACUAGAGCGUACCUUGAGCAUAUAUGCUGUGACCCGAAAGAUGGUGAACUAUACUUGAUCAGGUUGAAGUCAGGGGAAACCCUGAUGGAAGACCGAAACAGUUCUGACGUGCAAAUCGAUUGUCAGAAU
rnacentral:rRNA from 1 species